CCGUGGGUCUGCGCAGGCCAGCUUCUGGAGGCCAAGGCGAGGGAGAGGGAAGGGGUUGGAAGGUGGCAGUUAAGGACGAGGUUGUGCCGGGCCUCCCGGGAGCCGGCUUAAAGAGACCUGGCGCGUGGGGCGCCUGGCGGGCUCAGUCGGUGGAGCGUGCCACUCUUGAUCUCGUGGUCGUGAGUUCAAGCCCAGCUUUAGGUGUAGGGAUGACUAAAAAAAAAUAAACUUUAAAAAAAAGAGACCAGGCGCGCACCGCUGUCUUCCGCUGGGAGUGUCCUCGGGAGUAGCUGGACCGGGAAAUGGGGAAAAGAGCUUCCGCCUGUCGAGUUGGUAGACUCUGGCUGUGUCCGCGCGUCCUCACCGACCACGCGGUUCCGGUUCAUUCCGCAAACUCCUGAGAAAAGAGACACCUGUAAGCACUGAUGAAUGUAUAAACUGUUUGAGGAAUGCACACUUUCAGCCUCAUCAUGUCAAAGCACCAAAAUAACAUGCAGUCACCAUUAUGAAAUGCAAAUACUGAGAUGAUUUGGUAUUCUCUCCUCAUUCUGAUAGACUCCACUUUGUGAGAAAAUUCGACAGGGCUCAGAGUGGCUCUGUUCCUUUAGGAAGCUGUGGAAACAGGUCUCCCUAGAAGGAAAUGUAUGUACCUGGUGGAUGUAUUAUGUCAUUUUUGUUGAAGGACAAACUUUUUUCUUACCUG